rnacentral:tRNA from 1 species
AGAGAGGUGCCCGAGCGGUUGAAGGGGCCACCCUGGAAAGGUGGUACAUGGGUAACUGUGUCGUGAGUUCGAAUCUCAUCCUCUCUGCAA